AACUAGUAGCUUCAGAAAAACAAAAGAAAGAAAGGAAAAAAGGAAGGAAAGAAAUGGAACAAGAAAGUGAGGGUUGCGAUAGAAGAGGGAGAGCGCCAGGGGAGGAGGAGCUACGCUCACCGCCACCGUCGUGUCACCUCCUCUGUUGCCACCGUCCGUCGCGCCGCCACCAUGCUACGUCACCAUCGAGAACAGAGAUGCGAAGGAGAGGAGGCGGCGGGACACUGUCCUCGAAGCUUCUGUCGUCACUGUGCAAAUCCGCUGCCAUCGUCAUCAUCGCGGGCUGCUGCUACGCGUGUGAUCGCCGCCCCUUCUGGGUCCGUCACCGUCGAGCAGAGCCACCGUGAAAAAACGUCGCUGUCGUAGAAGCUCUUGUCGCCAUGAAAAGCUGAUCCACCGCCGUUUGGGUUACCGGGAACAUGGCCGUGAUCACCGAAACCACCAUCGGAGUUAUCGCUAUUCAGUACAGUCGUUCUUCCUUGUCAGGGAUCGAGUUUUGGGUCUUGCAUGCUGAGUUCUAUGACUGUGACAUACGACAUCAAGCUGCUGCAUUGUCACCGGAGCUGCCACUACUCUGUUCUCUUGCUUAUUUGAAAGUACAGUAAUUUGUUCCUCGUCCCGAACCUCUAUAGUUGCUAUUCUGUUAUAUGUUUCUAAGGUCCUUGCAACGUUAAUGCUUUAGGAUUGAGUUUUGAUUCUUGUGUGUCGAGAUUAGAGUUGCUGUGGUUGCAGCUGUCGCGGAUUGCGCGCCAAGAGAAAAGGGUUUCAUUGACAAUGUUUGGGUUUUGGGUUUGGCUUGUUGAGAUGUGACGUCCUCUGCUGUCGCCGCCACCACUCGUGUCGCACAAGCUCCCUCCAUCGCCCUCAUCGCGUUUGCUCCCUUCAUUGCCACCGUCACACGAGCUCUUUCCGCCGUGCUCUUGUCUUACGAGCUCCUUCCGGCGUCGCUCUCGUCGCUGCUUCUUCUCUCCUCGCUGGAGGGAAGUUAUAUAUUCAAAUUAGAAACCUUUUCAGAUCUUCAUGUUUGCCGAGAACUAAUGGGUAUUGCCCUUAGCAAGCAUGGAGAAGCUGCAAAAGUCGUUUCGGAGGAACAAUUGAUUGCUGCUGAAAUGGGACAAAGAAUUAAGCUAUUACAAGAAGAUAGGUUAAAUUUCAAUUGACACCAGAGAUAAAAUAUCAGGCAUGCUUCAUAUAGCUCUUCCCUUUAUCAAUCAACUGGCUUUUCCAGUCAAACUUAAAUCAACUGGCUUUUCAAUUGACUCUUUACUUUCUUUGUAUUAUUGUCUUUCCAGAUUUUUGCCCUAAAACCAGCUGUUCACCAGGCAUUCCUCAAUUAUGGAGUUUUCUUGUAAUUCGAUUUAGCCUUCUAUUUCUGUUAUCCUAUAUCAGCUUUAUAGAGUUUCCUUUUAUAUAUCUUUUGUUGCAGAGUGAUACUAGUUUGAUAUUGUAAAAGCAGUCACAAUAUAGUUUAGAGAAUUUCUUGAUCCAUCCCUUUGCAACUAACACUAUUAUAAAUCUAUAGUUGAAUGAAUUGGAUAGGAUUGACAUGCUGAUUGUAGCUGGUCAUGUCUAACCCACUCUUUCUUUACUUACUGCCACAUAAUAUCUAUGGCUUAUCUUUCUUUAUGUAUUGUUAUUGUAUCCAUAACCUCUUUUUUCCAUAAACUUUUAUGUGCUAUUUAUUUGCUUUUGUUUAGUCACUGAAAUAAAGAUUUUGAUGUCUUCCAUUUUCAUAUGUAUUAAGUAUUAACUGAAGACCUUUUAUUCUAAAUGAUCUUAUGUUUAUUGUCAGGCUAUUCGAAAGGAUAAUAAACAUCACUUCAGCCUUAUAGAAGAAAAUGGGGGGUGCUACUUAUUCGAGCUAACCAAGGCCAUACAAUAACGUUAAACUAUUCGGUUUUAGUUGAAUGUUGAAAUGCGUAAAUUGGUUUUGAAGUUUUUAAGAAAACCUUCAAACCUGAAGUAAUUGGAUCUGUAAACAAUUGUUAUUUUUGUUAAACAAAAUUUAUCAUUUAUGAAUAUAAAAUUGGAUUCGGUAUGUUUAACAUAUUCAAAAUUACUAAGACCUUGGAUUUAUUUGUUUGUUUCUCUGUUUUCUGUACCUUGCAAUCAUCAGGUUUUAAGACAAAAAACGUGGAGAGUCUUAAUUGUUAUAGAAUAGCAUGUCUGAGUGAUAAAAGUGAAAGAUGUUGUUUUUUCUGAUGAGUGUUGCCUUCUCUUAUUCUGAUACUCUAGGUUUGCACUUCUUUCAAGGUUUUGAGCAGAGAAGUAUAUAGGUAAGGCAAAAGACAGUACUAAGAUUAGUUUUCAAAAGUUGUCAACAAAUACAGCUUAAGACCAGCCUUAAGAGUAAGACUUCACAUGAUAGUCUCUGGGGCUUGGACUUAAAGUCAAAAAUCGUAAGUAUUAACAUUCAAAUAUCUGAUUUGAGGAAUGAUGUGAAUAUAGUACUGUUUCUCAUCUGAUAAAUUGAUCAAAAUGGUACAAAAUGCAGUUCCUUCGAUUUGGGGUGUCCUCCAGGAACUUUGAUUUCCUAAUUGGAUUUUUUAUUAUUUGUGCUAUCUCUAAAUUGAUUUUCUGAUUUGAUUUUUUAUUAUUUGUGCUAUCUCUAAAGUUUUUUGGUAGAUAAUAUAAUGGAGGAGUGUAAAAACAAUUACACUGUAGUAGUUCUUGAGAUUAAGUUCUGAGCACCAUAGUUUCAAUCAGAUUGAUUGUUUAACUGUAAUUCUAUAAAUCAUUAUUAUAUAUGCAUACCAAACAGGUUCUAACUCUCAAACUGGUCAUCUAAUAAACUAUGAUUAUGUAUGAAUCGGUCUCAAAAUUUAUGCUAGGUUGGUUGUGUUCUUAAUUAUCCUUCAUAGCUAACCAAAUUUAAUUUUAGAUGGACCCAGGAGUCAGGCAGAUUUAGAUGACAAAUUGACCAAGUCUAAUAUUUAUUGUUUCCCGCAUGAAAUACCCAACUAUAUUGACCGAGUCUUGUUCUGCCAUCAGAAGAUGCAUGCACAUAAUGAUUGACCAUGGCUCAGCUCCUAAGAGAUGAGGAAGGAAAAAAGCUUGGUCUGAAAGGCAGUGAGAAAAAGCUCAGUUCAAAAAGAUAAUGAUGAAAAAAUGGCAGAUGUAGAGGGAUCUUCAAAUGGUGUGGAAAUUCUGUUCUUUAUCUCAAAAUUAUGUUGGUUGUCCCCACCACAACUUUCAACCUCUCUCAGUGUCAUCAUGGGCUGGCUACAAAAUAUAUCUGAAGAAGGAUAAGUGAAGGAACAAGAAGGCAAAGUUUUCUUUUGAGGAAAGCAGUAAUGAUGAAGAAGAAGAAGCAACAGAAAGAGUAAGUAAAGUGAAUUUUGCAAAUGAGAUAAGUGAAAUUAACACAGGACCUCCUUCACCAACUUUAUCUAUUAAUUAUUAGAGCAGCAAAAAUUGUUCAAAUGAAUUAGGAAAUUGAAUAGAAGUUGCUUGCAACAUAGGUCUUUUAAUUUACUAGUAUGAAGAAAAUCAUUUAGAGCCCUUUGAUACCCAUUAACAACUUUUAAUUUACUCAAUACACGUUGUUGAUGUAUGUUUGUUACUUAUUAUUAUAGUUGAUAUAUCAAAACACU